AAGUCGUAACAAGGUCUCCGUUGGUGAACCAGCGGAGGGAUCAUUACAGAGUUACUUAAAAACUCCCAACCCUUUGUGAACUUACCACUGUUGCCUCGGCGUUGGCUGCGGCUACCCUAUAGUUACCCUGUAGGCAACUACCCUGUAGUUGCUUACCCUGUACCUAUCUCGUAGUUCGCUUAGGCCCGUCGGAGGACCACUGAACUCUUGUUUUACUGUGAAUAUCUGAAUGCUUCAACUGAAUAAGUUAAAA
rnacentral:misc_RNA from 1 species